UGAAGAUGAAAUGGAUUAGCGGCGGACGGGUGAGUAACACGUGAGUAACCUGCCUUAGACAUUGGGAUAGCCUCGGGAAACCGGGAUUAAUACCAAAUGAAAUCACAUAUGCACAUGCAUAAAUGAUCAAAGCUCCGGCGGUCUAAGAUGGACUCGCGUCCCAUUAGCUAGUUGGUGAGGUAACGGCCCACCAAGGCGACGAUGGGUAGCCGGCCUGAGAGGGUGAACGGCCACAUUGGAACUGAGAAACGGUCCAAACUCCUACGGGAGGCAGCAGUGGGGAAUAUUGCACAAUGGAGGGAACUCUGAUGCAGCGACGCCGCGUGAACGAAGAAGGCUUUCGAGUCGUAAAGUUCUUUUAUAUGGGAAGAUAAUGACGGUACCAUAAGAAAAAGCCCCGGCUAACUACGUGCCAGCAGCCGCGGUAAUACGUAGGGGGCUAGCGUUGUCCGGAAUCACUGGGCGUAAAGGGUUCGCAGGCGGAAAUGCAAGUCAGGUGUAAAAGGCAGUAGCUUAACUACUGUAAGCAUUUGAAACUGCAUAUCUUGAGAAGAGUAGAGGUAAGUGGAAUUUUUAGUGUAGCGGUGAAAUGCGUAGAUAUUAAAAAGAAUACCGGUGGCGAAGGCGACUUACUGGGCUCAUUCUGACGCUGAGGAGCGAAAGCGUGGGUAGCAAACAGGAUUAGAUACCCUGGUAGUCCACGCUGUAAACGAUGAGUGCUAGGUAUCGGAAUAAUUCGGUGCCGCAGUUAACACAUUAAGCACUCCGCCUGGGGAGUACGUGCGCAAGC
rnacentral:rRNA from 2 species